GGGUGCUAAGCUUGUUUUUGAGUUAUUUGCAGUUAAAGCUGGAAUUAAGGGUGUUUUUAGCAGGCCAUACUGUAGAUAUGGUAAGAUACUGUGUCACGAAAAUGAUAACGAGAUCACCAAUGAUUGGACAGUUUUUUGAUAUGAUGACUGUAGUAUCAACUGAUUAAGAGUGGUGAUAAUGACCCAUUAAAAUCUAACUCUUGGAAAGUACUGGAAACUGUUGCAAGCCGCCUGAAGGAACGUGUCACCAACCCCGAGUUUAACGGUUUGAAGGAAUUUCCGGGUCAUCCAUUCCUCGUAAAUUAUUGACAUUUUCCAGAACUUUUGCUUGUGCUUUUGUACGACUUUUUCCCAGGUUUAACUUUAAUUCAUGUAGUUGGCACGGUUUUGACAAACUGCUGCUUAUCCUGAAGGGAAUGACUGCGCAGUUGAAUAAAAUAGAGACACCUGGAAAGAAGGUCACAUGCUGAAGUACAUACAUGAAGUACAUACCAAUGACUACAGAAUUCAUAGUGAAGCAAGAAAUCAGUUACACAAAAAAAUGGAAAUAAGCCAAUGAAGUCUAGAGGACGGUACUUUUGCCAUGGUAUUUUGAACUUUUGAUGUUCCUAAAUAAAAUAUCAUUUUGACACGAGA